UAUAUAUGACUUGGUCUUUUUUUUUCUUGCAGCUUUCAAUAUUCUUUAUUUGUUCUGUACAUUUAGUGUUUUGAUUAGGUGUGCCUAGUUUCUUUUGCGGUUUUUCUAUUUGAUAUUCUGUAUACCUUUGUAUUCAUCCUUUUCUUUUGGUUGGAAAGAUUUUUUUAUCUAUGAUUUUGUUAAAAAUAUUAUUUCUGCCUUUAACUUGGGUUCUUUCUUCUUUCUUAGUCUAUUAUAUGUAGAUUUGGUCAUUUCAUGGGAUCACAAAUUUCCUGGGUAUUUUGUGCUGGAUUUUUUUUUUUAAUUUAACAUUUUCUUUGACUGAGAUAUCCAUUUCUUCUACCAUUUUUCAACACCUUGAAGUUCUUUCUUCUUUGUCUUUUAAUAUAUUGGUGAGGCUUAUUUCUGAGGUUUGAAAUUUUUAUUUCAUUAUAUUUCAGAUUUAUUUUAUUGAUUUCACUUAUAUCCUGCUUUAAUGUUAUUAAUUUUAUUAUAUCAUUCAACUGUGUUUUCAUAGUCUUCAUUACAAUAUUCAUUAACAUCUUUUUAAAAGUCUUUGAACAUGUCAUGAUUGCUAUUUUGAAGUCUUCAUCUUGUGCUAUGGAUAAAUUGCUUUUCUCGGGCCUUAAUACAAUAGGGAUUCUGGAAGAGGCAGUACAUCUUGGUUGUACAAUUUUGUGUUUUUGCACUGGGAUAUAGGUACCUUGGAGGUAUAGUGUUUAAAGUGUUUCUUGAUAUGGAUAUCUUAUCUCAUCUUUGUUGAAUUGAUUGUCUUUGGUUUCUGUUGCUUAAUUGUGGGAGCUGUAAGGUCCCUGGUAGAUGUUGGUGCUGUGUCUCAUCCAAUGUAGUAGGUGUGAGGUACCUGGUAUAGAUCUAUUCUGUUGGUCAGUGGGGAGUCACAAAGGAAUGGAGUUGAGCUAGAAAGAAAAACUGAGAUGAGUAGUGGGAAACAACUUAGGGACCUGGGUGCACAGCAAAGAUAAAGUUCACAGGAGAUGAAGAAGGGAGCUCCUGUGGUCAGGCUGAAGCAGAACUAAGGGCAAAUUGGGAGACACAGAAUGAAAGACAGGGAAGGAAGUUGAAGGUCCCCUACAUGAGUCCCUGUCUAGUGUGGUAACUUUGGAUCCCUGAUAAGGAAUAGGUUCUGUGAGUUUGAGGUGUCACAAAGGACUGGAACUUAAAGAGUCCACCAGGAAUAACUAGAGGAACCUUGUAUCUACACCAUGAGGUUGAGUACCUAGGGCAUAGGAGUGGGCUGGGAGGAAGGACUCCUGUGGGUUGGUAGCACCAGAAUAAACAGUAAACCUAGAGGACCCUAACUACUGUAUUAAUUCUAAAAUCCACUAGUAUUAAAUAUAUAAAGUGUUUGAAUAACUAACAUGUAUAUGAUGCAUAGUUGAACUAAGUCAAAAUGGUAGCAUCUUUCACAGUGAUGCAUCUUCCUACAGCAGGACAUUUAAUUAUAUUUCUUUUCAAAUUUUUAUCUUUAAAUAUUUUUAUUCUUUGAUAAUUGUAUACAUUUGUACAAUGUAUUUUGAGCAUAUCUAUCUAUUGCUACUGCCCUUUAAUUCUUCUUAGUGGUCCUCUAGUUUUUCUCCCUGCUUUAAAAAUAAUUUUCUCUAUUUAUGAAUUGGAUAGUGCAGUAAAUGAUUCAUGAGGCUCUUUGCAUCACUAUUUCAGAAAUCUCUCUUUUAAUUUGGUGAAGUCUUUGAUAUAGAAACAUUCUGUAAUAGUUUAAUCAGUCUUUCCAAAUGACAAUAAGGUUCUUUUUCUUCUCAUUCUGUGUUUCUUGCAUAAUUACAUAGAUUUUACUUUUACUCAUUCGUGUGUCAUUGUGGUAUAGGUGCACAGCUUUUGGAGUAUGCCCAGAUGUUGCUGUAAAUAUUAUUUGGGGAUUUCUAUCCCACCUUAGAUCAUUUAGUUCCCAAAUAAAAGACACAAAACCUUAAUAUUUAAAAUAAGCCUUAAAGCCCUAAAGCUGGCCGGAUAUCAACCCUCUAUGCUAUUUUGUCUACUUUCCUGUCAAUAACCCCAAGAUAUCACUUGCCCAUGGUGACUUCUUAUCUCUUUUUCCUCUCUUUUAUUCCUCCUUGUCCCUGCUUCAGACCCCAAGCCUGGAAACCAAAGCCCCACCUACCUCUCUUUGGCUCAGCUAUAGGCUGUAGACAUCUUUAUUAACAAAUACAGGGGAUGAGGUUUAUACAACAAAAGCUGGUAUACCUGAGGAUCUGUACAUCUGGGAGCAACCAGGUCUAGAGUUACAAAAUUUAGCAUUUGAUAAAAGCAACAUCAAAGCAACCCAUCACACCCAGGUUCUGCCUGCCAAAUGCCCCUUUAUAUGCUCAUCUUCCUAUUUUACAUUUCCACAGAUUCAGUACGUAUUUAUUCCAAUCCUUAUAUCCUUUUGGAACACUUUCAUCACAGAGACCCAGUCCACUAUUUUAAGAACAACACCGCCUCAUCUAUUUUAUCACCUCUAAAUCGAUGUCAUCCACUUUGCUUUUGUUUAUCCUUCCUUCUGUGUCACUAGCACUCAGGCUCCUCAGAGGGGCUUCAUCAGGUUUGUGUGUUGUGAGAUUCCUAGAGUCAUUUGAUACUUCACAUAUAACUGAUGCUCCCACCCCAUCUUUUGUGGGUUUGUUUGAUAAUUAUGGAAGCGAGGGCCUCAUCCAUGCUAGGCACAUAUUCUACUAUUGAAUGUUGAUACCCCCAGGGCAUGCAGUAGACUUUUAAUACAUAUUUUUAGAAUGAGUAAAUGGCUUAGACUCUGACAAUUUUAUGGAUCUGGAGACCAGAGCUGUCCAAAAGGAUUUUCUACAAAGAUGGAAAUAUUUUUAUCCAUGUUCUCCAGUACGAUAGGGACUGGGUUAUUGAAGCCAUCAAAAUCUGAAAUGAUGCCUAGUACAGCCGGCUUUUUAAAAUAUUUAAAUUAUAAUCGCCAAGUGUGACUUUUGCCACUUUAAGGGCAUAGUUUCAGAGAGCCAUCUACCUGUCUUCACGGGGUUUUUUCAAAGCUUAUUUAUUUUUAAAUUUUUUUUAGAGUCAUGAACAAAGUUUAUUCAAACAGAAACAUUUUAUUAGAGCUUAAAAGAAAAACUCUAAGGCAGACAAUUGUAAGUCUCAGCAGCUGCCGGGAAGAGGAGAAUGAGAAAUGGACCUCCAUGUGGAGGUCAGCCACAUGGCAGGCAGUAAGCCACAUAGCAGCAGAGGAGCUUUAGGGAAAGCAUGGAAAAGCCCAAAGUACC
rnacentral:lncRNA from 1 species